rnacentral:rRNA from 1 species
CAGUCGCCGCGGGAAUACGAAGGGGGCUAGCGUUGCUCGGAAUUACUGGGCGUAAAGGGAGCGUAGGCGGACAUUUAAGUCAGGUGUGAAAUCCCAGAGCUCAACUCUGGAACUGCAUUUGAUACUGGGUGUCUUGAGUGUGAUAGAGGUAGGUAGAACUCCGAGUGUAGAGGUGAAAUUCGUAGAUAUUCGGAAGAACACCAGUGGCGAAGGCGACAUACUGGCUCAUUACUGACGCUGAGGUUCGAAAGCAUGGGGAGCAAACAGGAUUAGAUACCCCCGUAGUCCCUGUCUCUUAUAC